AGUGGGCACUCUGUAUCCACUACAGGCACCACUAUGCGUUCGAGAAUGCGUGGAGUGACUUCCAGACCCACCGCAAGGUCGUGGGCCUUGUCACCAUUACCGACUGCCUCUCGGCCAAGGCCUUCGAGAAGCUCCAUGUGCAGAGGAGCUGUAUGGCACCACGCUUAAUGACUCUCAGCUCUUUGUCUUUGUGCUGCAUGGGGAGGUAGCCGAGCAGCCGAGCACCGACGUGGCCUUCAAACUACGAGGACUGCAGGGUGGUGGAGAAGAGGAUCGAGGACUUCACUGAGUCACUCUUCAUCUUGCUCAAGUCCAAGUGGCUGGAUGGGACCCCAACAAGUCUGGGGAAAGGAUCCCCCUCCUCUGCACCUUGUUUGAGAAGGAGGACUUCAUGGGACUGGACACAGACAGCAGAUCGUUUUGGUUACUGAGACCCUCGAAUUCCCAUAUGAAUUAUAACAGCAGCUAAUCAGUUUUUGCAGAGGAGCCCACUGGGAUUGUGAUCGAGACCACGUAGAAUAUACGGAUCACUCUGGGGAGCACUGCCAUUCCAAGAGCACUGUCUUCUGAUCCAGGAAUGUACGUGGCGUGUCUGUCCAGGUGCCCUCACAUCCAGUGGCAUCCAUCCAGACACCAACACUGACACUGGCCAUGCUCAGAACUACCUCAGCCCUGAAGACACAAGUGACAAAUAGAAGGGGGCCGCGCCCUGUUACAGCAGGUGCUCUC